rnacentral:snRNA from 1 species
UUACUUACCUGGUAGGGGCAAUACCAUGAUCAUGAAGGUCGUUUUCCCAGGGUGAGGCUUAUCCAUUGCACUCUGGAUGUACUGACCCCUGUGAUUUCCCCAAAUGUGGGAAACUUGACUGUAUAAUUUGUUGUAAUGGGGAACUGUGUUUGUGCUUUCCCCUG